rnacentral:rRNA from 1 species
UACGUAGGGGGCAAGCGUUGUCCGGAAUCAUUGGGCGUAAAGCGCGUGUAGGCGGCUGGCUAAGUCCGCUCUGAAAGCCCGGGGCUCAACCCCGGGAGGCGGGUGGAUACUGGUCAGCUCGAGUCCGGAAGAGGAGUGUGGAAUUCCUGGUGUAGCGGUGAAAUGCGCAGAUAUCAGGAGGAACACCAAUGGCGAAGGCAGCUCGCUGGAACGGUACUGACGCUGAGGCGCGAAAGCUAGGGUAGCAAACGGGG